rnacentral:misc_RNA from 1 species
UACUGAGUUUACGCUCUACAACCCUUUGUGAACAUACCUAUAACUGUUGCUUCGGCGGGUAGGGUCUCCGUGACCCUCCCGGCCUCCCGCCCCCGGGCGGGUCGGCGCCCGCCGGAGGAUAACCAAACUCUGAUUUAACGACGUUUCUUCUGAGUGGUACAAGCAAAUAAUCAAAACUUUUAACAACGGAUCUCUUGGUUCUGGCAUCGAUGAAGAACGCAGCGAAAUGCGAUAAGUAAUGUGAAUUGCAGAAUUCAGUGAAUCAUCGAAUCUUUGAACGCACAUUGCGCCCGCCAGCAUUCUGGCGGGCAUGCCUGUUCGAGCGUCAUUUCAACCCUCAAGCUCUGCUUGGUGUUGGGGCCCUACAGCUGAUGUAGGCCCUCAAAGGUAGUGGCGGACCCUCCCGGAGCCUCCUUUGCGUAGUAACUUUACGUCUCGCACUGGGAUCCGGAGGGACUCUUGCCGUAAAACCCCCAAUUUUCCAAAGGUUGACCUCGGAUCAG